CCCUGGUGGGUGCUGGGGCCUGGGGUGCCCCAUCGGGCUCACCCAUGGGAACGUUUCUCCCCUGCAGAACUGGUGCAUCAAGCGGCGAUCCCAGUCCAUCUACCUGCAGGUGCUGACGGACAAGCAUGCGCCGGAGCACUACAGGGUCCUGGGCAGCGUCUCGCAGUUCGAGGAGUUCGGACGGGUUUUCCACUGCCCCAAGAACUCGCCCAUGAACCCGGCGCACAAGUGCUCGGUGUGGUGAGGCCGAUCCCCCCGGCAGGCUGGCAACCCCUGGUCCCCAUUCCUGCCCGUGUGCCACCCUGUGCCGGCUCCUCACCUCCGCCCAUCUUCCCGCUCCUACUCUCCAGGCGAAGGGGGCACCCCUGGGUGACACAGGGGCUCACCCCCCCCCAAAGACGGGCAUCUGCCCGAGGGGUGGAGGCAGCGGGGAGGCAGUUGGGGUGGGCAUGAGCUCCUGCCCAGACACAGCUGCCUCCUGCCCAUUCUCUUCCUACCCUCUGCCCUGCAAAC
ensembl:lncRNA